rnacentral:rRNA from 1 species
CCCAAAAAGACAGUCUCAGUUCGGAUUGAAGGCUGAAAUUCGCCUUCAUGAAGCUGGAAUUGCUAGUAAUGGCAGGUCAGCAUACUGCCGUGAAUACGUUCCCGGGCCUUGUACACACCGCCCGUCACACCAUGAGAGUUGGGAAUACCCGAAGCCUGUGAGCUAACUUUUAGAGGCAGCAGUCGAAGGUAGAAUCAAUGAUUGGGGUGAAGUCGUAACAAGGUACC